rnacentral:rRNA from 1 species
UACAGAGACCUCAAGCGUUAUCCGGAUUUAUUGGGCGUAAAGCGUCCGCAGGUGGUUUGGCAACUAAGAGGUUAAAACUUAACGCUUAACGUUAAGAUCGCCUUUUAAAAUACCAAACUAGAGACUGGAAGAGGUAAGCGGAAUUCUCGGUGUAGUCGUAAUAAGCGUUGAUAUCGAGAAGAACACCAAAUGCGAAGGCAGCUUACUGGUACAGUUCUGACACUCAUGGACUAAAGCGUGGGGAGCAAACAGG